rnacentral:rRNA from 1 species
AGCAGUCGCCGCGGUAAUACGUAGGGUGCGAGCGUUAAUCGGAAUUACUGGGCGUAAAGCGUGCGCAGGCGGUUAUGUAAGACAGUUGUGAAAUCCCCGGGCUCAACCUGGGAACUGCAUCUGUGACUGCAUAGCUAGAGUACGGUAGAGGGGGAUAGAAUUCCGCGUGUAGCAGUGAAAUGCGUAGAUAUGCGGAGGAACACCGAUGGCGAAGGCAAUCCCCUGGACCUGUACUGACGGUCAUGCACGAAAGCGUGGGGAGCAAACAGGAUUAGAUACCCCCGUAGUCCCUGUCUCUUAUAC